AAACAGAGGCAAACAAAAGUUGAGUGACUUGGCACAGGGGUAGUGAGUUCACCAUUACAGAAUGUAUUCAAGCAGAACUAUUAAUCAAGGACACUGCUCCAAGCAGGGUGACUGGUGAGGUAAAGAAAGAGGACAGAGAUGAAGUGGAAGAAAGUCAGCCUGGGCUCGGCCCGGGUCAUGGAUGGAUGCUCCACUCAGUAGAUUACCUCCGGGAGGCUAAGCCGAAGGAGAGAAUGCUGCUGGCAUGACCCUGGGAAGGUCUCCAGGGCAGCUUCAAGGUAUCCACAUGGACAAGGCAGGAAAGCUGUUGUUCAUUGGAGACUUUUCCAGGAAGCUGGAUUCCCAUAGGAGUUUGCACAUGGAUUUCAGGAUUGCAUCAGCUGGAAAAAAAGAGCCCAAGGAAUGGUCUCUCCACGGCCUUCUAAGUUUUCCCCAGGAGAUUUCUAUUGCAUCUGCCACCUCAGGAGGUGUAGGAGACUGCACUCAUUUGUGUAUGGACCAGAG